rnacentral:rRNA from 1 species
AUUGAACGCUGGCGGCAGGCCUAACACAUGCAAGUCGAGCGGAUGACGGGAGCUUGCUCCUUGAUUCAGCGGCGGACGGGUGAGUAAUGCCUAGGAAUCUGCCUGGUAGUGGGGGACAACGUUUCGAAAGGAACGCUAAUACCGCAUACGUCCUACGGGAGAAAGCAGGGGACCUUCGGGCCUUGCGCUAUCAGAUGAGCCUAGGUCGGAUUAGCUAGUAGGUGAGGUAAUGGCUCACCUAGGCGACGAUCCGUAACUGGUCUGAGAGGAUGAUCAGUGACACUGGAACUGAGACACGGUCCAGACUCCUACGGGAGGCAGCAGUGGGGAAUAUUGGACAAUGGGCGAAAGCCUGAUCCAGCCAUGCCGCGUGUGUGAAGAAGGUCUUCGGAUUGUAAAGCACUUUAAGUUGGGAGGAAGGGCAGUAAGUUAAUACCUUGCUGUUUUGACGUUACCGACAGAAUAAGCACCGGCUAACUCUGUGCCAGCAGCCGCGGUAAUAC